rnacentral:misc_RNA from 1 species
AUGCGAUACGUAAUGUGAAUUGCAGAAUUCAGUGAAUCAUCGAAUCUUUGAACGCAUAUUGCGCUCUCUGGUAUUCCGGAGAGCAUGCUUGUUUGAGUAUCAGUAAACACCUCAACUCCUUUUUCUUUUUUGAAAUUGGAGCUGGACUUGAGUGAUCCCAACGCUUUCUUCCAAGAAAGUGGCGGGUUGCUUGAAAUGCAGGUGCAGCUGAACUUUUCUCUGAGCUAUAAGCAUAUCUAUUUAGUCUGCCUAAAAAACAGAUUAUUACCUUUGCUGCAGCUAACAUAAAGGAGACUAGUUCUUGUGCUGACUGAUGCAGGAUUCACAGAGACAGCUUCGGCUGACUUUGUAAACUCGAUCUCAAAUCAAGUAAGACUACCCGCUGAACUUAA